rnacentral:rRNA from 1 species
ACUUCCGCAAUGGACGAAAGUCUGACGGAGCACCGCCGCGUGAGUGAUGAAGGUUUUCGGAUCGUGAAGCUCUGUUGUUAGGGAAGAACAAGUGCCGUUCAAAUAGGGCUGCAGCUUGACGGUACCUAACCAGAAAGUCACGGCUAACUACGUGCCAGCAGCCGCGGUAAUACGUAGGUGGCAAGCGUUGUCCGGAAUUAUUGGGCGUAAAGGGCACGCAGGCGGUUUCUUAAGUCUGAUGUGAAAGCCCCCGGCUCAACCGGGGAGGGUCAUUGGAAACUGGGGAACUUGAGUGCAGAAGAGGAGAGUGGAAUUCCACGUGUAGCGGUGAAAUGCGUAGGGAUGUGGAGGAACACCAGUGGCGAAGGCGACUCUCUGGUCUGUAACUGACGCUGAGGAGCGAAAGCGUGGGGAGCGAACAG